rnacentral:lncRNA from 1 species
CCACGGUGAUUUGCAAGCAACUCACUGCACUUAGGCACUGGACUAUCUGAAUUUCUAAUUCAGUGACGGAAGGCUGCUGGGUGUAGUCAAGUACUUGACUUGUCGGUGCGUGUAUCAAGAUGGGAUUGACCACUCCAGUUUAGGAGCUGUGUACAGUCAUGUUUCAAUUUAGCAAAAUCUUGGCUAGGGUAGUCCUUGUGAGGAGUCACAGGAGUGUUUGAGUUGAGCACGAUUCGGAUGAUCUGAUCAGGGUUGACAGUUUAACCCUGAGUC